CGGCGUGUGGUGGUCGGCUGGCCAUGAUGGCGGUUAAAUUAGUGGUCGCGGCCGCACUUGUUAGAUCAUACGUGCUCUCCUCCAUCCAUGGCUUCUUUCCCCCGUAUGCUCUGAUAACUUAUAUCUCCGGCCAAGAGCUCGCCUUGAUGUCCUCACGGACUGGAGAUCCAUGACUAAGAGCUCUCCUCAAUGUAUGCAGGUGCUCCUUUUCAUCAUGAUUACAUCAUGUGGUAGCCUGCUUUUUAAGGUCUCUAUUCAAGUGGAUGACGGGAAAUGUAUGAGGGAUAGAGAGGAAUAAGUUUUCUAGAACACGUCUUUGUAGUGUAUGGUGGGUACAAGUAAUGUCAGAUUCAAAAUUUAGAGCUUUUGCCAAUAAUCAGUAGCAAAAUCCAGGAUUGCUGAGAAGAGAGGUGAACCUAAUGGCUUCAGUACUAUUGUUAGGAUACUAUGUUGCUUCCAGACUAUCGAUAAGAAUAGUUCAGUCGCUUUAGAGAUUGUUGAACAUAUGAAAUUGAUUGUAAUCUCUGGGCACCCUCAAGUUAAGCUGCUUGAAGACCAAGUUCAAAUAUGUGUGAGGGCAGUGCGGUUGGGCAUGCAAGCCUAUUGCACCUGAUAUAAUCAGACCAUUAGAUAUGUUUUGAAAUAAUGAUCUGCAAAUGAUUUUUAUGUACUCGUAGGUAUAGUUUUCAUUACGUGAGACAUUUCCCAGAACCAUUAGUAGUCUUGUACAUUGAAUCAAUUUAUUAGACGACUUUGUUAUU